rnacentral:rRNA from 1 species
GGUGAGGCUCGUAGGGCAGCGAUUCCGGAUUACUGGGUGUAAGGGNGCGUACGCGGACUCUAUAAGAGAGAUGUGAAAUCUAUGGGCUCAACCCAUAGCCCUUAUUUGAAACUGCAGAGCUUGAGUGAAGUAGAGGCAGGCGGAAUUCCCCGUGUAGCGGUGAAAUGCGUAGAGAUGGGGAGGAACACCAGUGGCGAAGGCGGCCUGCUGGGCUUUAACUGACGCUGAGGCACGAAAGCGUGGGUAGCAAACAGGAUUAGAUACCCUGGUAGUCCACGCUGUAAACGAUGAUUACUAGGUGUGGGGGGUCUGACCCCUUCCGUGCCGGAGUUAACACAAUAAGUAAUCCACCUGGGGAGUACGGCCGCAAGGUUGAAACUCGAAGGAAUUGACGGGGGCCCGCACAAGCAGUGGAGUAUGUGGUUUAAUUCGAAGCAACGCGAAGAACCUUACCAGGUCUUGACAUCCUACUAACGAGAUAGAGAUAUGUUAGGUGCCCUUCGGGGAAAGUAGAGACAGGUGGUGCAUGGUUGUCGUCAGCUCGUGUCGUGAGAUGUUGGGUUAAGUCCCGCAACGAGCGCAACCCUUGCUAUUAGUUGCUACGCAAGAGCACUCUAAUAGGACUGCCGUUGACAAAACGGAGGAAGGUGGGGACGACGUCAAAUCAUCAUGCCCCUUAUGACCUGGGCUACACACGUACUACAAUGGACAUAAACAGAGGGAAGCAAUACAGCGAUGUGGAGCAAACCCCUAAAAAUGUUCUCAGUUCAGAUUGCAGGCUGCAACCCGCCUGUAUGAAGAUGGAAUUGCUAGUAAUCGCAGAUCAGCAUGCUGCGGUGAAUACGUUCCCGGGCCUUGUACACACCGCCCGUCACACCAUGGGAGCCGGUAAUACCCGAAGUCAGUAGUCUAACCGCAAGGAGGACGCUGCCGAAGGUAGGAUUGGCGACUGGGCCAAGAAGGUAACAAGUUAUCCGUAAGGCCGGAUUCGUUUAAACUUGGAGGACUAGUCCCUUUAGGGGAGGGUAAUUCUUGAGCUUGGGGUAACAUUGGGCAUAGAUUGUUCCUGGGGAAAAAUUUUUAACCGCACACAAAUUUCCCCCCAAAAAAAAAGCGGCCUUGCCCCCUUUUAUUCCCCCCCCGCCCAAGAAAAUUAAACCCCUCCCCAAAAGGGGAACACAGUUCUUGG